rfam:Halomicrobium mukohataei DSM 12286, complete genome.
UGACGUUGGCUACUGUGCCGCCUGGUGGAUAGCUCGGCUCGGAAGCCGAUGACGGACGUGCCAAGCUGCGAAAAGCCAUGGGGAGCCGCACGGAGGCGAAGAACCAUGGAUCUCCGAAUGGGAAUCCCUCUUACAAUUGCUUCGCGCAAUGGGGAACCUCGAGAAUUGAAACAUCUUAGUAUCGAGAGGAACAGAAAGCGCAAUGCGAUGUCGUUACUAACCGCGAGUGAACGCGACACAGCCCAAACCGAAGCCCUCACGGGCAAUGUGGUGUACGGACUACCUUUCAUCGGCCGACCAUCUUCACGAAGUCUUCUGGAACGAAGCGUGAUACAGGGUGACAACCCCGUAGUGAAGGUCAGUACGUCGUGUGGUAACUCCAGAGUAGCGGGGGUUGGAAAUCCCUCGUCAAGACGGCAGGCAUCGACUGCCAAGGCUAAAUACUCUCCGAGACCGAUAGUGAACAAGUAGCGUGAGCGAACGCUGAAAAGCACCCUCAGACGGGGGUUGCAAUAGGGCUUGAAAUCAGGUGGCGAUCGAGCGACGGGGCUUACAAGGUCCUGUAACAAACGAGAGCGGCGCGAGCCGUCAGUAGGACUUACAGGAAGCCGAAGUUCCGUCGUGCGUUUUGAAAAACGAGCCAGAGAGUGUGCCUGUUUGGCGAGUCUAACCCGAUAAUCGGGGAAGGCAUAGGGAAACCGACAUGGCCGCAGCGCUUUGCGCAAGGGCCGCCGUCUUCAAGGGCGGGGAGUCAAACGAGCACGACCCGAAACCGGGUGAUCUACGCGUGGGCAGGGUGAAGCGUGCCGAAAGGCACGUGGAGGCCCGUUAGGGAUGGUGUCCUACAAUACCCUCCCGUGACCUACGUGUAGGGGUGAAAGGCCCAUCGAACCCGGAAACAGCUGGUUCCAACCAAAACAUGUCGAAGCAUGACGUCCGCCGAGGUAGUUCGUGGGGUAGAGCGACCGAUUGAGGUGCUUCACUUCGAGAGAAGUGAACACUUCUGUCAAACUCCGAACCUACGAACGCUGUCGACGCGGGCAGUCCGGUAUGCGGGGUAAGCCUGUGUACCGUAAGGGAGACAACCCAGCGCCGGGUUAAGGUCCCAAAGUGUGGAUUAAGUGUGAUCGAAAGUGGUCUCAAGCCCUAGACAGCCGGGAGGUGAGCUUAGAAGCAGCUACCCUCUAAGAAUAGCGUAACAGCUUACCGGCCGAGGUUUGAGGCGCUGAAAAUGAUCGGGACUCAAAUCCACCACCGAGACCUGGCCGCUCCCGUGAAAGGGAGAUCGAGUAGGUUGGCGCUCCGAUUGGAUGGAAGCAGGGGUGAGAACUCCUGUGGACCGAUCGGUGACGACAAUUCUGGCCAUAGUAGCAGCGAUAGUCGGGUGAGAAUUCCGACGGCCGAACGAGCAAGGGUUCCUCAGCACUGUUCGUCAACUGAGGGUUAGCCGGUCCUAAGUCCCCCCGUAAUUCGAAGGGGACGACAUGGGAAGCUGGUUAAUAUUCCAGCGCUCGUAUGCAACGAAACCGACGCCUCGGGGUCGACCGAGCUGGGCCUUCGCCCAGUCAAAUCAUCCAAAUCCGUGGAAGCCGUAAUGGCAGGAAGCGGACGAACGGUGAGAUAGUGAAAACCGGUUCAACCUGGGGCCCGUGAAAAGGGAGCAUACGAUCCGUACCGAGAUCCGACACAGGUGCUCGUGGCGGCGAAAGCCAAGGCCUGUCGGGAACAACCGACGUUAGGGAAUUCGGCAAGUUAGUCCCGUACCUUCGGAAUAAGGGAUGCCUGCUCCUGACAGGAGCAGGUCGCAGUGACUCGGACGCUCCGACUGUCUAGUAACAACAUAGGUGACCGCAAAUCCGCAAGGACUCGUACGGUCACUGAAUCCUGCCCAGUGCGGGUAUCUGAACACCUAGUACAAUAGGACGAAGGACCCGUCAACGGCGGGGGUAACUAUGACCCUCUUAAGGUAGCGUAGUACCUUGCCGCUUCAGUAGCGGCUUGCAUGAAUGGAUUAACGAGAGCGUCACUGUCCCAACGUUGGGCCCGGUGAACUGUACGUUCCAGUGCGGAGUCUGGAGACCCCCAAGGGGAAGCGAAGACCCUAUGGAGCUUUACUGCAGGCUGUUGCUGGGACAUGGUCGCUACUGUGCAGGGUAGGUAGGAGUCGUUACACAGGUAUCCGCGCUAGCGGACCACCGAGACACACAUGAAACACUACCCGGUAGUGACUGUGACCCUCACUCCUGGCGGAGGACACCAAUAGCCGGGCAGUUUGACUGGGGCGGUACGCGCUCGAAAGAAUAUCGAGCGCGCCCUAAGGCUAUCUCAGCCGUGACAGAGACGCGGCGAAGAGCGCAAGAGCAAAAGAUAGCUUGACAGUGUCACUACCAACACGGUGACGCUGACGCGAAAGCGUGGUCUAGCGAACGGAUGCGCCUGCUUGAUGCGGGCCGAUCUACGACAGAAAAGCUACCCUAGGGAUAACAGAGUCGUCACCGGCAAGAGCACAUAUCGACCCGGUGGCUUGCUACCUCGAUGUCGGUUCCCUCCAUCCUGCCCGUGCAGCAGCGGGCAAGGGUGAGGUUGUUCGCCUAUUAAAGGAGGUCGUGAGCUGGGUUUAGACCGUCGUGAGACAGGUCGGCUGCUAUCUAUUGGGGGUGUAACGGAAUCUGACGGGAACGAUCGUAUAGUACGAGAGGAACUCCGAUUGGUGACCACUGGUGUACCGGUUGUCCGAGAGGGCACGUGCCGGGCAGCCACGUCACACGGGGUAAGAGCUGAAUGCAUCUAAGCUCGAAACCCACCUGGAAAAGAGAUUCCACCGAGGUCACUCGUAGAAGACGAGAUAGAUAGACUCGGGGUGUACGCGUCGAGGCAACGAGACGUUGAGCCCGCGAGCACUAAUCGACCGAAGCCACACACU